GUGGGGAAUAUUGCACAAUGGGCGAAAGCCUGAUGCAGCAACGCGGCGUGAGCGAUGAAGGCCUUUGGGUCGUAAAGCUCUGUCCUUGGGGAAGAAACAAAUGACGGUACCCUUGGAGGAAGCCCCGGCUAACUACGUGCCAGCAGCCGCGGUAAUACGUAGGGGGCGAGCGUUAUCCGGAAUUAUUGGGCGUAAAGAGUGCGUAGGUGGUUUCUUAAGUGUGAGGUGAAAGGCAGUGGCUCAACCAUUGUAAGCCUAGCGAACUGGGAGACUUGAGUGUGGGAGAGGAAAACGGAAAUCCUAGUGUAGCGGUGAAAUGCGUAGAUAUUAGGAGGAACACCAGUGGCGAAGGCGGCUUUCUGGACCAUAACUGACGCUGAGGCACGAAAGCGUGGGGAGCAAACAGGAUUAGAUACCCGUGUAGUCC
rnacentral:rRNA from 1 species